rnacentral:misc_RNA from 1 species
GCAAACUUGGUCAUUUAGAGGAAGUAAAAGUCGUAACAAGGUUUCCGUAGGUGAACCUGCGGAAGGAUCAUUAAUGAAUUACACGGCAGGGUUGUCGCUGGCCUUUCUUAGGCAUGUGCACGCCUUGCUCAAUUCAUCCACUAUACCUCUGUGCACUCUUCAUAGGUUGGCUUAUAUAAAGAGUCGUUCGCAUGAAUGGCUUGGGCCUCUCUAUGCAUUAUACAAACUUCAUGUUUUAGAAUGUUACUUGCGAUAAUAACGCAUUAAAUACAACUUUUAACAACGGAUCUCUUGGCUCUCGCAUCGAUGAAGAACGCAGC